CCUACGGGAGGCAGCAGUUGGGAAUAUUGCACAAUGGGGGAAACCCUGAUGCAGCGACGCCGCGUGAGUGAAGAAGUAUCUCGGUACGUAAAGCUCUAUCAGCAGGGAAGAUAAUGACGGUACCUGACCAAGAAGCCCCGGCUAACUACGUGCCAGCAGCCGCGGUAAUACGUAGGGGGCAAGCGUUAUCCGGAUUUACUGGGUGUAAAGGGAGCGUAGACGGCAGCACAAGUCAGAUGUGAAAUCCGGGGGCUCAACCCCCGAACUGCAUUUGAAACUGUUGGUCUUGAGUAUCGGAGAGGCAGGCGGAAUUCCUAGUGUAGCGGUGAAAUGCGUAGAUAUUAGGAGGAACACCAGUGGCGAAGGCGGCCUGCUGGACGACAACUGACGGUGAGGCGCGAAAGCGUGGGGAGCAAACAGGAUUAGAUACCCUUGUAGUC
rnacentral:rRNA from 1 species